rnacentral:rRNA from 1 species
GCAUAAUCAUUUGCCUUUUAAUUGGAGGCUGGUAUGAAUGGAUACACGAAAUUUUAACUUUAUCAUAUUUAUUAAGUAAAAAUUAGAAUUUAGGUGAAGAUACCUAAGUAACUUUGAAAGACAAGAAGACCCUAUAGAGUUUUAAAUUUAUAAAAUAAUUAUAUAAAUUUUUAGUUGGGGCGACUAAAGAUUAUUAUAAACAUCUUUUACUAGUGAGAUAUUGAUUCUUAAUAAUUGAUCCUAUAUUAUAGAUAAAUAGAAUAAACUACCUUAGGGAUAACAGGCUUAUCUUUCUAAAGAGUUCAAAUUGACAGGAAGGUUUGGCACCUCGAUGUUGGCUUAGAGUAACCAGUUAAUGCAGCAGUUAAUUAUGGUCAGUUUGUUCAACUGUUAAAUCUCUACGUGAUCUGAUUCAGACCGGAAA